UACGUAGGGUGCAAGCGUUAAUCGGAAUUACUGGGCGUAAAGCGUGCGCAGGCGGCUAUGCAAGACCGAUGUGAAAUCCCCGGGCUCAACCUGGGAACUGCAUUUGUGACUGCAUGGCUAGAGUACGGUAGAGGGGGAUGGAAUUCCGCGUGUAGCAGUGAAAUGCGUAGAUAUCAGGAGGAAUACCGAUGGCGAAGGCAGGUCUCUGGGCUGACACUGACGCUCAUGCACGAAAGCGUGGGGAGCAAACAGG
rnacentral:rRNA from 1 species